rnacentral:lncRNA from 1 species
GGGGGGGUUUGUAGAAAGAAUUAGUUUUUUUUCGCUUUAUCUUGUUCUUUCUUAACUGUUUUUCCGCAUAUCUUUCAUUUUUGUUGGGUUGGACCGGACUUGUCUUGGUGGGAAUAGAAAAGUGCCAUCAUGUCCAUUUUUGGGUCGUGAAGCACCAAGUUCGUAGGUAUCACGUGUGUACAAAACAAGUCUAAGUAGAGUCUUGAGGAUCGGUAUAAAGAUGUC